rnacentral:rRNA from 1 species
GACGUAGGGUGCAAGCGUUGUCCGGAUUUACUGGGCGUAAAGAGCGCGUAGGCGGUCUUGUAAGUGUGAAGUGAAAUCUCCAGGGCUCAACCCGGAAACUGCUUUGCAUACUGCGAGACUAGAGGGAUGCAGAGGUUUGUGGAAUUCCUGGUGUAGCGGUGAAAUGCGUUGAUAUCAGGAGGAACACCCAUGGCGAAGGCAGCAAACUGGGCAUCGAUCUGACGCUGAGGCGCGAAAGC